CUGGGACCUCCAUUGAUGUAGUUGGAUGAGUUGAGUUGGCAACUGGCAAUCUUAUCAGAGACCAUCUACCUUCCAUCCUCAGUACCCGUUGGUUGAUCCCAUCUCAAGAUUGAAGUACAAGAAUUCUGAAUUAAAACUUUGUCUCAGUGACAUUUCUCCUGCAAAGGCUGACCAAUGGUGGAGGGGAGGGCCACCCGAACUCUGUCUCCUUCCAAGAUCCUGGAAGACCCUAGCAAUGUGUACAUGUGUCAUCUCUAUCUGUAAAAUCAUCAAAAGAAAGAUAAUUUAACAACAAUAGUGGUGGAGAGGGGCAGAAAAAAUACCUUAAAAAAAAAAAAAAAGAAUCUUAAGAAGGCUCCUCAUCCAGCACCGAGCCCCAUGCAGGCCUCAUUCCAUGACCCUAAGAUCAUGACCUGAGCUGAAAUCAAGAGUCAGACGCUUAACUGACUGAGCCACUCAGGCACCCUGGUAAUGGCUUUUUAAUAUGAACAAAAGUAGAAGUGGCAAAAGAAGAAAAAUAGAUAAAUUGAACUUAUAAACUUUUGUGCUUCAGAGGACAACAUCAAAAAAAUUUGUAUAAAAACUACAGAAUGGGAGAAAAUAUUCAGAGAAAAUCAUAUAUCUUAUA